rnacentral:lncRNA from 1 species
AUGGACACCGCACAAACCAAUCAAUCACUGUCUGCUUCCAUUAAAUAUAAUGCUACAGCGUAAAAUGAAGAAAAAGCAAAGCUUAAAUGUAAGUGGCAUCUUCUCCUUGUAACGUCAGCAACAAAAAUUAAAAGGAAGAUUGAAUCCUUUUCUUUCAUUCAAGCAAUGUCUAAAAAGUUGAACAUCGUUCCCAAAAAAAAAAAAAAUUCUAAUGUUCCAGCCUAUGCACUCUCGGUGAAAAAAACGUUCCAGCACCUUGGUGUCCUCCCCCAAAAUGCUGCAACUCUCUCCAAUUUUUAAAUAUGUUCUGACAACCUCCUUUUUAUGUGACGGCUG